CCUGCCUCUGACUGCAAGAUCGCGUCUCAUCACCAAACGUUGAAGAAUGUUUUGAGACUUACCAGUGUGCUGCUACCUUCAGAGGAUGAAGGACCAGCUUGUGUGUGCACUGGUCCUGGUCCCUGUCCAUUCAGAUGACUACGUGCCAGCCCUCGGAGCCCAGAUGAGCUGAUCAAAGGGCUGGGGAGGCAGCUAUAAGCACACAGCACCUGCAGAGGUGGAGGAGAGGGGCCGUGGGUAAAUCCUUCCCCGCACUUUCUGAAACCAGGACAUAGGCGCUGCUACUCGGUGACCUUGGAGAAAGUGCUUUCAUUUCUCCUUCAGGCUGUCGGUGCUCUGGGAACAAGAACAGUCUCUCAUUACAGACGUGCAUAUAAAUAUAUCAUUUAGCACAGUGGUGGGCGUCUUUCCUGCUAUUACAGUAACAACCUGUCUCCCCCUCCUAGCUCCAUCUGAGAAGAGAGAAGUGCUUCCCUGUCUCUGGUUAUGAUUAACAGGAUGGAGUUUGCUGCUGGGUUUUGAUCGGGGGAAGAACCCUGUCUUUUCCUUUUCUUUGGGAAUGAAUUUGGCACUGGUGCUACAUGGCGGGCUGAGGCCUGCAGGGCAGUGGUUGCUCUCCAUACACAUGGUGGGUACCUGGCAGGAGGAGCAGCCCAGAUCACUCCUCACGAGCUGCCUGCUCACCAUAUCUCAGCAUUUCUCCCCCGUUAGUACCAACACCUCUAAUGUUUAAGCCAGAGGAUGGUAGGUGGCCUGAGACACCUGCUCCUGUCUUGUGCCACCAGGUCCGGGUCCUUCCACCAAACGGUGCCUCAGUUUCCCUGUGUAUAACAUAACAUUGGUUUAUUAUCAAGCUCUCCUGGAGAAAACCAUUGCUCAGAAGUGAGCCUGCUGCUCUCGUCUUGACCUUGGGUCUUCAGAAAGCAGCACAGCGGGAGCGGGACUGGAAGGCACCGGCGGCCCCGCUCCACGCUGCAGCUGCAGCAGCUGCCAGGAAGCUGGGCAGGAGUAAAUCUGCCACUCACGGAGGUGAAGGGUGCACGAGAGAAGGACACGAUUGUUUCUGUCCCAAAAGGGGAGAAGGAAGGGAAGAGAUGGAAAAUUCAUUUAGUGGCUUUCAACAGCUGGAAGCGGAGUUCUCCGUAGUGCAGAAAACUGGGGCUGCUAAAGAGCGUGGGGCGAGGAGGAGGUGAAAAGUAUCUGAAAUCUGUGGGGUGAGUUGGCUGACUUGGAAGCAUUUCCCUGGGCCAAAUGGACAUGCUCCAGCCAGGCAGAAAUUGUGCCCUGAUGCACACAGGAUCAGGAGGGCCACGUGUCAGGAGCGCUGGAAAUGCGAAAAAGCAGCAAGGGGAAGCAAAGGGGGAGGGAAGGAGAAAUACGUGAGCAAAGGCAGUGGACAGGCAGAAAGGCUAAAGUCAUAUUGAUCCGUACAAGGAAGACAUAUUCUCACCACUUCUCAUCCUCCUUUCAGAUGAUCCUGCAUCAAAAAAACCCAAAGGGCUGUUUUCCAAGCCUGGCUUUGGAGAUCUUUCCAAUGAUAUAGCAGAUAAACAGCCGCUUGCUGACAGUGAAGGCACUUGUCAUCCAGCCAGAGUAGGAACCAAAACACAAAGUGCUUGGCCAGUCUCUCACAGCAGUGGAGGAGAGUGCCCCCAGUGCCUAUUCUCCCUGGGGACUGCAGUAGGUGCUUCUCUCAAGAAAACAGCCCUGAUAUCACUCCAGCCCCUGACUUCAGGUAUAGAAGGUGCUUCUGAUGGGGACUGAAUAUGUGUGGCGGUGCCUGUGUCCAUGGGAGGGAGCAGGUUCAAGCUCUAUGGCUCACCAAAUCCAGCAACCCAUUGAGAAUCCAGCUGCACCAUGUCCCCAGGAUGAAGAUGGCUCUCAUCAGGUAGCUUUCCUAAUUGUAGGUCAGUCUCAAGCAAACCAGGAAAAGCAACAGAGGAAGGAAAAUCGUCGAGCAGGAGGGUGGGAGAAGGUGGAGUCAUUCGCAAGCAGAGCACAGGAGCUGGAGACAGUAUCUCAGGAAGGCGCAAAUGUGGUCUGAAGUGCAUUUAUAAUCCAAGGUUUAGGGUCACCAUUAAAGAACUGAAAGAAUCUGUGGAAGAACCUCUAAAGAGGCAAAGGGACCUAUCUGCUGUGCACUUCUGGGUAGUUCUAGGAAAUCUCAUUCCUACAACAGCAUUCAGAGCUCUGUCCCACAUAGAAAACAGGGUCUUCACUCAUCUCUGCUCCAGGCCAAGAUCCUCAGCUGAGCACAGACACCUUCAUUUCAGGAACAGCCACGAGGCAUGUUGCAAAUCUUCUACCACUUCCAGUCCCAGGGUGUUUUAUUUCUUGCAUAAGGCACGUUGGGUGUGGGGUGAAUGGGACAGAGGCAGAAUGGAGUCCCCAUCCCAAAGGGACCAGAGGACAAAGCCACAUCUCCUCUCUGCAGCGUGGCUGGUCCCUGGGAGCAGUGUGGCAGGCAAUGAACUCAUGAGAAGCACAAUAGGAGCAAAAAAGGCAUUCUGUGGGGUCCUGGGCACCACCACAAGCCCUGCAUUUUCCCAAUUCAUUUGGGCAAUUGAAUUCCACCUCCCUUCCCUCAGCACUCCCAGCUGUUUGAUGGAGCUGAGUGCUUUUCUCCAUCCAGCACUCUGAGAUAUUCCCAUGAAAGGCUGUGUAUAACUGUGAAGUAUUAUUAUUGCACACCUUUUGGAAAGUGCCUUGAGACGUCUUGGAAUGAUAAGGUGCUAUAAGGCAGAGAAGUUGUGCAGAGAUAAAUUCACUGUGAAAUGUGUUUUGCUAGAGACAUUUAUGUAGCAUAUCAUCUUAUCAAGGAACUUUGCCCAAGAAACAAAUUCUCAUGCCUGUAUAAAGAGACUAUAAUUGAACUGUUGACUCACAGUUUUGGGAAAAGACAGAGUGGGGGAAAAUUUCCAGGGCCUCUAGGACCCCAAGGAGGAAUAUAAUUAAGGAAGACAUAAUUGGAAACCUAAAGCAACCCCAUCCACCCGGAGCAAGUGCUGAAACAGCAAGCAGGAAUAGCUGGGCUGAGCCUGAAUCGCAAAGCAGAUGGCUGAGGAUUUGUAGGUCAGUAGCUCUUGGAUAUGCUGGGCCAAGAUGGGGUCAGGGCACCAUAUGGAUGAAGGGCAAAAAGACAGCAUAUCUGAGCACGCCGUGCACUCUGCUUCCCAGAAAGACCAUUCGGAAGCAGGACAAACUUGCGUGCAGUUUUUCUCAUAUUCUCAAGAAGAGAAUGAGUCCCGGGCUUCUCUGGUGACACUGGGGCUAGUAUAGGCCUGGGCUAUUUGGGAUCACACAGACGAGAAGGGAACAGAGUCUAUGAGCAACACUUCAUGGGAUUUAAGGGUGCCCUGUUCCUAGUUUGGAAAUGCCCUGACAGCAUUUGUGGUAGAUCUGGAUUAGGAACUGGUUUUCCUCCUUGGUGAGAAUCUUUAUGAGCUUCAACCUUUAAUUUUUUUCCUAUCCAGCAUUGGGAUGAGCAUAUUUUGAGAGAUAUGAUCAGGAAGCAGGGGAGAAAACCUUCCUCAUACCUCUAACCCCCAAUUUAUGUCUCCCUGGUUAGGGCAUAGCCUUCAGAUGGGGGAAUUGCAGUGCUGAGGACCCUGUUGUGGGUUGCUCAGGCUGGGUUUCUUCUCAGUGCCCAAGCUCACCAGGUCAGCCAGGACACCAGCAGAGCCCUGGGACCAGCUGUAGCUCUCCUCCCCAGGCCAGAAGAGGUGGCAGAGCAGCCCUAACCCUCCUGCUCAGAAGCUGAGCCCACAAUCCCACAUUGCUGCAGCUGAUCUCUAUUUUCCUUAAACUCUACAGACAGCGUCUUCAGAACUUAAUUUGAUUUUGAUUGAUUUUUUGAAACUUGAAACACUUCUAAACUAAUUUUCAGUAUAUUACUCUUGUCAACUCUUAAAGAUUUUGUCAGUAAGAAUUUGCUGAACAGACACAGUAAUUUUGUUUCUCAUUUUGGCAGAUCACCCCUAAAGAGUAAAGUGGGCAGGAGGGGGUGUUAUUAUAGCUGCAGUUAUUAGAAUAUACAUUGCAAUUACCCUGCUCCUAUUUAUGGGUCGUUUCAAUGCAAUUUCUGAUAGCAGCCACUAGGAGCUCAGGGUGUACCCAUCUGUGCAAAGCUAACUGUAUAAAGCCUCACAAUGUGCUUGUUCCCCUGCUCCCGGAGAGAUUUUUAGCUUUGAGGGGAGUUCAUCUCAGAGGUUGGAUUCUGAGAUCCUUCAAGCCUAAGGUCCACAUCAAACACAUGGCCCAGUUUGGGAAUGGGCUAAAUUCCAGUUUAUGCUUGAAAAGACUGACAGGGUGGUGGGUGGGAGGGAAGGGGGAUAUUUUCAGGCAGGAGCUGCCUCUAGAUCCAGGGGUCAGGAUAAUUAAUUUGGCAUCAUUCAUUUUAUGCUUCCUGAACCCAGUGGGUAACUGGGGACUGGGAGAGAUGGAGAUCUGUGUAAAUUCAGCUGCAUAGCACUUUAGCUGUAUGGGACAUCAUUAAAAAAGUCUGUUUUAGAUGUAGCGUCUUCAACAAGUGAUAGUAUUUUUUUAGGGCAAAGCAAUUUACAUUCCCAUAAGAAGAAACGACUGACUUGUUUGCUGGCUGUACAUUUUGGACAUCUCAUUUCACAUACAAAGCAGCCCUUGAACUGGGCUGCAGGGCAUCAUAGCAGAUAGCCCACAUCUUCAGGAUCUUUAGGGAAACCCACCAGCACCUGGAUCUCGACGAGCAACCUUCCUACAGCACCAGAGUCUGGGCAAAGAGGUGAAGGCAGAGAACUCCAGCUUGCAGAAACACUCCUGGAAAUGCCAGCUCCACCAGCCAGGGACUAAUCCCUGCAUGUGGGUUACGGAAAAGAGCCAGUAAAACUGUGACAGCACCGUCUGAGGGCUCCUGCAAAUGUCAUUCUUACUGCUGCUAACUGGGUGUGAAAUGCUACCAAGUGACUUGGUUGUUUUCCCCCACACGGAUGAUAACACGAAAAAGAAGCCAAGGUGAAAUGGGACACCCAGUCCCAAGGGAGCAUGAAAAGUGAGGAGGAGGUUGUUAGAAAAAAAUAUAUAUGUAUUUUUGAAUGGCAAAAAUUGAAAUGAGGUGAAUCAAUGGGACACCUUGCUGCUGAAGAACUCAGCUCCCCCAUUCCGGCUCUGGUUGCUGGCUGCAGGCACUUCCCUAACCACAGCUCAUUUUCUGCACUCUAACCAGAAGUUAUCUGUUUGUAUUUUUGAGGGGCUAGGUUAGUCUUCUGCUGGGUUAGAGGCUCUUUGAAUGGUCUAGUGAACUCCAGAGCUCAGUGUAGGGAGAUGCACAGCAUGAGGAGAAGUAUAUUUGACCAUCUCUUUUUGACAUCCACGAGCUUUUAGUGCAGCUCAGCUUUCAUUUUAAAGCCCACCCCCGGGAGGAUAAACACAGACAUCACCUCACUGAAAAGCAGCCACUCUGGGGCAGAACCUGACAGCAUUCCACCCCUGGACCAUGUCUACCACCAGGAGAUGUAAAGCGUCUCGCUGCUGUCCCUGACAAGAUAAUUAGGUUUUCUUUUGUUUCUUUUUUUCCCUCCUUUUUGUAUGUGGAUGUUUUCCCUUGUUUAUAAGCUUAAUUGCACAGCAGAGGCAGGCAUGAGAAGCCCGAUACAUCCAGUGACCUCCAUUCUGUGGUCUGCAUUUGUAUGCCUGUGUUUGGCUCUGUUGUGCCUGCUGGGACCUCUUGGCUCAGUGCUGUGCCUGAUGCACCCUGGGGGCUGUUAUCUCCUAGGCUGUCUUAGGACAGUGAUAUUGAAAGUCCAUCACUGAGCAGCUAGAGAGUAAAUGUUAGGGAUAUAAACCCACAGUUCCCUUGCUGGCUGGGGUAUUAAAACUAGUGAGGAGGGUACCUCAGUGAGUGGUCCUUCUGCAUGGGCACCGAAGUGGUGGCUGUGCUGCAGCAUUCCCCAUUUGAUGGCGCUUUCCAGGGCUGCUUAUUCCUCCUGAACAUCUCUGAGCAACUUUUGCUUCCUCUAGCCUCUUGCUUUUUGAGUUGAAGACUUCAGCUUUUAACCUUUUGUCUCGUGUUUUUCUUUAUUCUCUCACAUGAAGACACUCAAAUAUGCUGAUUGACUCUGACCAUUCACACAAA